GUGGGGAAUAUUGCACAAUGGGGGAAACCCUGAUGCAGCGACGCCGCGUGAGUGAUGAAGUAUUUCGGUAUGUAAAGCUCUAUCAGCAGGGAAGAUAAUGACGGUACCUGACUAAGAAGCACCGGCUAAAUACGUGCCAGCAGCCGCGGUAAUACGUAUGGUGCAAGCGUUAUCCGGAUUUACUGGGUGUAAAGGGUGCGUAGGUGGUGAGACAAGUCUGAAGUGAAAAUCCGGGGCUUAACCCCGGAACUGCUUUGGAAACUGCCUGACUAGAGUACAGGAGAGGUAAGUGGAAUUCCUAGUGUAGCGGUGAAAUGCGUAGAUAUUAGGAGGAACACCAGUGGCGAAGGCGACUUACUGGACUGCUACUGACACUGAGGCACGAAAGCGUGGGGAGCAAACAGGAUUAGAAACCCUUGUAGUCC
rnacentral:rRNA from 1 species